GUAGUCUCGCACAGAUGCAUAUCAAUAAGCGGAGGAAAAGAAACUAACAAGGAUUCCCCUAGUAACGGCGAGUGAAGCGGGAAGAGCUCAAAUUUGAAAUCUUAAAGGGUUUCCCUUUACGAAUUGUAGUUUAAAGAAGUGUUUUCUGUUGAGGUUUUGGUAAAAGUUCUUUGGAAUAGGACAUCAUAGAGGGUGAGAAUCCCGUAUUUGACCUUUACUUUCAACUUUGUGAUACACUUUCAAAGAGUCGGAUUGUUUGGGAAUGCAGUCCAAAAUGGGUGGUAAAUUUCAUCUAAAGCUAAAUAUUGGCGAGAGAGCCGAUAGCGAACAAGUACCGUGAGGGAAAGAUGAAAAGAACUUUGAAAAGAGAGUUAAACAGUACGUGAAAUUGUCAAAAGGGAAGCGUUUGACACCAGUGUUGUUUUUCUGAAAAUCAAUUAAAGAACUGUUUAUGCUAAGUUGUUUAGACUUUAUCAGCUAUCUGUUUAGUUUUGAGCUUUUCUUUAAUGCACUUUUCAGUUAACAAGUCAACAUCAAUUUCUUUUGCUGUAAAAAAGCUUGAGGAAGGUGGCUUGAGAUUCGUCUUAAGUGUUUAUAGCCUCUUGCCUAUGCAGUCGGAGAGAUUGAGGUCUGCAGCGUAGAUCCUUCGGGGCUAAAUGCAUUUGUGCUAAGUUAUAGCAUUUUAUAGACAACUUGUUGACUAUGAUUUGUCUUGUAGCUUACUCGCUUAUGUUAUUUUACCUACGCUUAGGAUGUUGAUCUGUAGUGCGUGCGC
rnacentral:rRNA from 1 species